UUCCUACGGGACGCAGCAGUGAGGAAUAUUGGUCAAUGGGCGGAAGCCUGAACCAGCCAAGUCGCGUGAGGGAUUAAGGCCCUAUGGGUCGUAAACCUCUUUUGUCAGGGAGCAAGGUCGUCCACGUGUGGGCGUAUGGAGAGUACCUGAAGAAAAAGCAUCGGCUAACUACGUGCCAGCAGCCGCGGUAAUACGUAGGGAGCGAGCGUUGUCCGGAAUUACUGGGUGUAAAGGGAGCGUAGGCGGGACGGCAAGUCAGAUGUGAAAACUGAGGGCUCAACUUUCAGACUGCAUUUGAAACUGCU
rnacentral:rRNA from 1 species